CCGCGCAGGAAUCCCUCAUCCUGGAGCUCCACGCCAUCGAGGCCAUCAAGUUCGGCACCUUCGUGCUCAAGUCCGGCAUCACCUCCCCGAUCUACCUCGACCUCCGCGCGCUCGUCUCCCACCCGGGCCUCCUCUCCUCCAUCGCCACCCUCCUCCACACCCUCCCGGCGACCCGCCCCUACGACCUCCUCUGCGGCGUCCCCUACACCGCGCUCCCCAUCGCCUCCGUCCUCUCCGUCCACCGCUCCGUCCCCAUGGUCAUGCGCCGCAAGGAGGCCAAGGCCCACGGCACCGCCAAGUCCAUCGAGGGCGCCUUCCGCGCCGGGGAGGCCGUGCUCAUCAUCGAGGACCUCGUCACCAGCGGCGCCUCCGUUCUCGAGACCGCCGCGCCGCUCCGCGACCAGGGGCUCGUCGUCGCCGACGCCGUCGUCGUCGUCGACCGCGAGCAGGGCGGGAGGGAGAACCUUGCCGCCAAUGGGAUCACGCUGCACUCGCUCAUGACCCUCACGGAGGUGCUCGCCGUGCUGCUCAAGCACGGGAAGGUGACCGAGGAGAAGGCGAGGGAGGUAAGGCAGUUUCUUGACGCCAAUAGGAAGGUGACCGUUCCCGGAGCGGCGGGCGCCGUUAAGCCCAAAGCGGUCAGGAAGGGGUUUGCUGAGAGGGCUGGAUUGGCCAAGAACCCGAUGGGGAAGAGGCUUUUCGAGGUGAUGGAGGCAAAGCAGAGCAAUUUAUGUGUUGCUGCCGAUGUGGGAACUGCAAAGGAGCUCCUUGAGCUUGCAGAGAAGGUAGUACAUGUCACUACUAUUUGUGGAGUUAGUUGGUAGAUUGGUUGGUUAAAUAAAUUUAUAAGCAUUUCAACCCUGACAAGUCAAAUUCUCCUGUUGGAUGGAUAAUCCUGCAAUUUGUGUGUACUUUUUAGUUCUUAGAUAAUGGACAAUUUGUGCAUACUUUAUGUUGAUAUGUCAGGCUCAGUCCCUGAGUUAUCUAGUAAGAAACAAAUUGGGGGUUCGGUAGAUAUACCUGUUUAUAUAGCACCUGCUUUUGCUUCAUGAACUGUCUACUUAGACUAGGUCUGUUAUACUGGAGUCCUUGGGAAGUAGAAACAUUGAUUUGAUAGUUGAGACAUGCUCAGUGUGUGUUUUUCUCUGUUUAAAAUGUAUUUUAAACAUUUCUGUGCUUAGAUAUGCUGUGUGCUGCUUCAUCUAGUGUUGCAAAAAGAAUGCUCCACAGUUGCAGUUUCUUCCUUAAGCAGUCAAGCUAGCAUUAUUUGUACUUUCUGAUUUGUUUUUUCCUCCAGUCUCAUUUCAUCCAUUUGCAUGACCUUUAGAUAUGCUAAGAGCAGAUUCACUACUUUUAGCUUUGUUUUUUUUCUCCUUUUGGUGUGUUUUAACAUUACGCUGUAAUUGCUAAACCCAGGUAAUAAUGCUUGUUAACUUGGUUCUCCAAUUUUUAUGUAGGUUGGUCCAGAGAUUUGCAUGCUGAAAACUCAUGUGGAUAUCUUGUCUGACUUUACUCCAGAUUUUGGAGCUAAGCUUUGCUCGGUAUGUUAUUUACUUAUAGUUUGGCAUGCUAAAGUUAUUGUCCUGGUCAGUUUUCACAUGGUCUGUUCUUUACUAAUUGACCCAUAAAACGUUAUUUUUAGAUUGCCGAGAAGCACAACUUUUUGAUAUUUGAAGACCGCAAGUUUGCUGACAUUGGAAACACAGUGACUAUGCAAUAUGAAGGGUGAGAAACAGCACCACAACCUAUCCCUUCUCAUCUCCUUUAUGUAUUUGUGUGACAUAAGUGCCUUUAACCUUGUUUCAGAGGAAUAUUUCGCAUAUUAGACUGGGCUGAUAUCGUCAAUGCCCAUAUAAUUCCUGGACCUGGAAUUGUGGAUGGUCUGAAGCUUAAGGUAUGCUGUGCUUUACAUGACUUAUACCAGAGUUUAAAGUUUUGUUAGUAUUGUUGCAUCUUCAGGUAGCUGAUUUAACAUAAUGCUCACAGUAACUUUUGUGUUUUGUACUGAAGGGUUUGCCAAAAGGAAGAGGGCUGCUUUUGCUUGCUGAAAUGAGCUCGGCUGGCAACCUUGCUCAUGGAGAGUACACUGCUGCAGCUGUAAAGAUUGCUGAGCAACAUUCUGAUUUUGUAAUUGGAUUUAUAUCCGUUAAUCCAGCAUCUUGGUCAGUUGCGCCAUCAAGUCCAGCAUUUAUCCAUGCCACUCCUGGAGUGCAGAUGGUUUCUGGAGGAGAUGCUCUUGGUCAACAGUACAAUACCCCUCAUUCUGUGAGUUUAACCUUACCAUCGAAUUCCUUUGUGUGAUUGAUUCACUUUUUUCUCCUUAUGUCUUAAUGCAUUUUUGGAGGUCUUCCAAAGAGUCAAACUUAGUAAGAACUAGUUACCAAAGAAUGACCGUCGGUUGUUGUCUCCCAGUUAUUGGUACAGUAACAUGAAACAUCAAGGUUGCUGUGGAAUACAGACAGCCAUCAAGGCAGAUUGUUAGUCUCCCAGUUAUUAAUACAGUAGCACGAAACAUCAAGGUUGUUGAUGCCUGUGUAGUCUGUGGAAUACAGAGAGGCGUUGAGACUGAUUGUUAUGUGAUGAAGUCCUAGUUGGAUAUGCUUUCCAUAUCCAUUUUGUCUCGUGGGCCAAAUAAUAGUUUGUUUCUAACUUAUACUACCUUAGCUCAAGUUUAUCUGGGUAUUACGUUCACUUUGGAUUAUCAGGCGCUAAACAUUUGAGCUCAUGCUAUCUUUUUCUUCUUUACACAAUUUGGAGGCCUUUCAUACGGUAGAUGAUUUAACAAAACCUAUAUCUUGAAGUUCUCAGAUCAUACCUGCACCAUCUUUAACAUGUCUCAUGGCCUAAUCAUGCCUGCAUCAUCUUCCUAUGUUUUUAUUAUUCGUCAGUAAAUAAUCUGGAUGCUUAGGCAGGAACUCAGUUCUUCGUUCCGUCCUGUUGCAAUAUGCUUAUGAACUGAUAUAUUCCUUGCGACGCCGUUGUUUACUACGUACAGGUUAUAAACGACAGAGGCAGUGACAUAAUUAUAGUCGGACGAGGGAUUAUAAAGGCGAGUAAUCCAGCCGAGACCGCGAGGGAGUACCGCAUCCAAGGGUGGGGAGCAUACCAAUCCAGCUUGCCAUGAGAAAUUGAGAAUGUGUUUAGGCCAUGUUUGUUUCAGCUUAUGAUUAUUAUAAUCUAGAUUAUUAAGCCAGAUUGCUAUAAGCUGGAUUAUAAUAAGCUGACAUAGAAUAAGCUGUGAGUUGUUUGUUUGUCUGGAUUAUUGGAGGCAUGGAUUAUUGGGUUUGAAAGGCUAAAGUCUAUAAUACCCUCAGCUAUCUGUUCGGUUGAUGGCAUAGUGGUUAAUUUUUCUCAAGCAUGUAGGGGUAGUGGGUCUUUAGCCACUCAAUAAUCUGAAAAAAGCUCCUUUAGAGCAGCUUAUUAGAUUAUAAUAAUCUGGCUUAUAGAUUAUAAUAAUCUGCUACAAUAAUCUACUUGUUUGUUUCAGUUUACUCCUAAUAAGGUAGAUUAUAAUAAUCCUAAACUGAAUCAAACAGGCCCUUAGUCCACACCCUAUGCCAAAUAAUGGGCAUUCACUCAUUCAGGCAGCUACUGUAAUAAGAGCAUGCUCUGCGUUCCAUCAGUAUUGGCUCGCGCUGUUUGCAACAAUAAUUUAGAGUUCAAGAUGAUGAAGUCAUGAAACUAAGUUGCCAAUAUACAAAGAUGUAGUAUCGUUCAUGCUCCUUGCCGUUCAUCCCAUCAUUAUUUUGGUGCACUCUCGCAUGGAUACUGUAAACUUGAACUUGCAUGGUUAUGUGGCGAUGACAAGAGGCACAGCCAAAGUUGCUGCAAACUGCUACAGCUCGGAUUGGCUGAAACUUCCGGGGGCCGUUUCGUCUUGCCGUGGUUAAACUGGUACAGCUCGGUUUGGCCUGAAAGGCUACUGUUCUUCAUGUGCUCGAGUUCAUGCCUCCCGUAGAUUUAUUUAUUUUUACUAUCCCCUUGCCCAACAAAAACCGGAGAUUUUACUAUACCAAAAUGCUACCCUGGUUUCAUGGGAACGAAAUGGAAAUGGAGAUUUUGGUUAAAGAUAAGCAGCAACAUUUUACGAUUUUCUGAAUUGUGUGCUAUCCAAAAUUGGCUUGGCAUCCGUCGUUUCCUCCAUCGCAGUAAGAGCAUCUCCAAGAGACUGGCUAAAUGGCUCUCCAAGCUAAAAUUUAGUGAACUUGGGCAAAAAAUCUACUCCAAUAGACUAGCUAAAUGGUUCUCCAAGCCAUCCGGCUGGCUAAAUUCUCCACCUCACUAGCCAAAGUUGGCCAGCUAGGACGGCUGGCUAUCUGGUGUGGGUCCCACCCCCUCUCUCCUCUCUCUCUCUCUCCCCCUUUCCCCAUCCCAUCCCGGCUCCUUCCCUGCCCGCCGCAUCCAUCCGUCCAGUGCUCGCCGUUGUCCUCCCGGCGCCGCCGCCGUCAUCAUCCUUCCGGCUCCGCCACCACCGUCGUCCGUGGCGAGAUGGCGCAGCCCAUCGUCUUUCCCCGACCCUCCGGGAUCUGGAGCGGGGCGGCGACGGCAACGACGACGACGAGCCAGUCCUUCGCCCGCACAAUGCCGUCUCCAUCGACGCACUCCGCGCCGCCGACCUCGAGGCAAUGGCGGCAGGGUGGGGUCAGGGCGACGACUACGCGGAGUCCCCCGACGACGACAGCACGGAGGACGGCGCGGAGUCCGCCGGCGGCGACGACGGCGCCUCCUCCCUCCCUCCCUCCGCUGCAAGCUCCGCCCAACCUCCCUCCUCUGCAGCGGACGCUCCGCUGCCACCGACGCCGGCCACCGCGCAUUGACGAGACGCCGGCCACCGCGCAUCGCGUGGACAUCAUCGAGAUGGUUGCAGUGGGAGAAGAGAAGAAGGGGAGAAAGAGGAAGAAGAAUAGAUAAUAGAGGCUGACAUGUGGGCCCUAAUUGUCAUAGGCUCGUAAUAGAGAGGGUAGAUGGAGAGGCUGUUGGAGUGAGGAAUGAGUUUGGUUUGCCAAAUCAAUUGGAGAGCUGGUUAUAUAGGUGUUUGGAGAGUCCGUUUUAGAGAGUCUGUUGGAGAUGCUCUAAGCCAACCAGUCGAUAUCAUCGCCGUCAUAUUCAGCAAUGGACGAUGACUGAUGAUGACUCUCAAGAGAAUGUGUUUAGUCCAAACCCUAUGCCGCUGAAUGUUGAUGCUGUUGAUGCAUGCACCUGCCGAAGGCCGAGUUUAGUUUUAAACUUUUUCUUCAACUUCUAACUUUUCUAUCAUAUUAAUGUGUUUAGUCCAAACCCUAUGCCGCUGAAUGCUGAUGCUGUUGAUGCAUGCACCUGCCGAAGACCGAGUUUAGUUUUAAACUUUUUUUCAAAUUCUAACUUUUUCGUUACAUCGUUUCAAUUAUAACCAAACUUUUCUACAUACACUUCCAACUUUUUUCGUUACAUCGUUUCAAUUAUAACCAAACUUUCCUCGACACAAUUCCAAAGUGCACUUCUCCACUUCACUCCUCGUCUCUUGCCGUCUUUUGUCCGCAAGUCUCGUGCUCUCACUCUCCACCUUCUUCUUCCCAGCUUCUCUCGUCUCGGCUCAAGGCUCUAGCCAUGGACGCCGCCGCAAUGGAAUCCCUCAUCCUGGAGCUCCACGCCAUCGAGGCCGUCAAGUUCGGCGCCUUCGUGCUCAAGUCCGGCAUCACCUCCCCGAUCUACCUCGACCUCCGCAUGCUCGUCGCCCACCCGCGCCUCCUCUCCACCGUCGCCUCCCUCCUCGGCUCCCUCCCGGCGACCCGCCCCUACGACCUCCUCUGCGGCGUCCCCUACACCGCGCUCCCCAUCGCCUCCGUCCUCUCCGCCGCCGCCUCCGUCCCCAUGCUCCUCCGCCGCUACCACGUCACGCCGCACGCCGCCGCCG
rnacentral:lncRNA from 1 species